AUGGCCGAAUCCUUUGUCCUCAACACCGGCGCAAGAAUACCAUCAGUUGGCCUCGGCACGGCUAAAACAGAACCCGGGACCGUCGCGGAGGCCGUCUACGCUGCUGUCAAGGCUGGAUAUCGGCAUAUUGAUUGUGCUCCAGCGUACCGCAAUGAGAAGGAGAUUGGUUUGGCUCUGAAGAAACUGUUUGAGGACUGCGUGGUUAAGCGUGAAGAUUUAUUUAUCUCUUCUAAGUUGUGGUCUGGUAAUCACGCCCCAGAAGACGUGCCAGAGGGCAUUGACACUACUCUUGAAGAUUUGCAACUGGAGUACUUAGACCUGUUCCUUAUCCACGCUCCAGUCCGAACUAAUAAAGGAGCUGUCCGAACCGCUGAAAACUAUAUUCGUCUUGAUGUCCCUGCUACAUGGGGAGCGAUGGAGAAGUUAUACGACUCCGGCAAGGCUCGUGCAAUCGGCGUGAGCAACUUUUCUUGCAAGAGGAUGGAGGAUUUGCUUGCCAUUGCUAGAGUAACUCCUGCUGUCAACCAGGUUGAGUCCCAUCCAGGUUGGCAGCAAAUGAAACUCCGCGAACUUUGCGAGUCAAAGAGUGUUCAUCUUUCUGCAUAUUCACCCUUAGGUAGACCUGGAUCACCUGCGUUCACGGGUCCAAGCUUUCUUAGCAACCCUAUUGUCGUCUCUAUUGCCGAGAAGUUGCAGAGAAGUCCUGCACAGGUUGCUCUACGCUGGGGCCUUCAAAUGGGUCAGAGUGUACUUCCAAAAAGCAUCAAUGAAACAAGGAUAAAGGAGAACUUUAACAUAUUUGACUGGUCUAUUCCUGAAGAUUUGAUGUCAAAGUUCUCUGAAAUCCCACAGAUUAAGACUCUAAGAGCUGAAUUUGUAGUUCACCCCCAAGGUAUUUACAAAACCGUGGAGGAUUUUUGGGAUGGUGAAAUCUGA
rnacentral:rRNA from 1 species